AUGGGCGCUAUUGUUGCAAAGCGGUUAAAUCUUAACCGUACUAAGGGCCCCAUCUUGGGAGGCAUCUUCGCCUCACGCCUCGCUGCAUACUAUGACAUACCAAUUAGGCACUAUGAGAAAGAAGAAAAAUUGCUGCCUACUGUUUAUUUAGAUUAUAAGAGUAUGGUAGCGCAUGAUUUUAUUGUUAAGAAUAGGGAAAGGGCGCUUAAAUACAAAUUGUUAUUUGAUAAAAGUCACCCUGAGACUAUUACCUUGCAUGCUCCUUCCUUGUUUGAUUUAUCUGCAGGCCAGUACCUUGUUCCGCUAGCGACCAUCCAAGCCUACCGGAACCCUACAUCAACUACAGAGCCAGAGCCGGAACCACAAUUUGAUCCUCCACGACAGUCUAGUUACCAGUGGGAUCCGGAACUAAUUGCCAACCAGUGGCAAUCAGAGGCUUCUUCUUCUCAGUACGACCCCAACUACAACUUUGGAUAUCCGCCAGGCCAGCCGUGGCAAUAA
rnacentral:rRNA from 1 species